UUCUGUGGGAAAGAAAUUGUGCAAAACAAAACUUAGUAACUUUUUUGGUCAAACAGUUUUUUCCAAGGUACAGAAAGAACUUAAUUCUCAAUUGAAAUAUAUGAAUAAACUUGUGAUUAAGUGAAACAGCUACCUCUGCAAUGUCCGCUAUGAUUUCUAUAAGAAGGUUUAAAGUAAAAGCCUCCAUUUUUUCAAGUUGCUCCACAGUCUCCUGCACAAGGGAUCUUGUGAUGCCUUUACUUUUGGUCUGGACGUGCUUCCUGAGAGGAAAAAUCAUACAUUUAUUAUAUAUUUUCUUAUAAUACAUUAAACCUUGUAACUACGUGGUGAUUCAUGUCUUUUAACUGCAUUUCUAUAGUGUGUUGACUGCUCUUAUGUGUUUUAUUCUAAAUGUUAAGGAACAGUAAAUCUGAACUAAAUUAAUCAUUGGCAAAGAACCAGCAAUACUCACUUGAGUUCAUUACAGGUGGUCAAAGUCUUGAAGAAGUGUAUCGUUUCUGGUUUGUCUAGUUUUGCUUUUUUUCCAAGAAUGUCAUUCUGCUCAGUGGUGUACCUACAAAAUAAAAGAGAAUAUGCUGUUUAUUUCAUUAAAGGGCAAUGAAGAAAAAAAAUCGAAUAAAAACAAUUUAAACUCUG